UACGUAGGGGGCAAGCGUUGUCCGGAUUUAUUGGGCGUAAAGAGCGCGCAGGCGGUUUGUUAAGUCCGAGGUGAAAUCUCCCGGCUCAACUGGGAGGGGUCUUCGGAUACUGGCCGACUUGAGGAGAGCAGAGGUGAGUGGAAUUCUCGGUGUAGUGGUGAAAUGCGUAGAUAUCGAGAGGAACACCAGCGGCGAAGGCGGCUCACUGGGCUCCACCUGACGCUGAGGCGCGAAAGCGUGGGGAGCGAACCGG
rnacentral:rRNA from 1 species